UACAGAGGUCUCAAGCGUUGUUCGGAUUCAUUGGGCGUAAAGGGUGCGUAGGUGGCGCGCUAAGUCGGGUGUGAAAUUUCGGAGCUUAACUCCGAAACUGCACUCGAUACUGGCGUGCUUGAGGGCUGGAGAGGAGACUGGAAUUCAUGGUGUAGCAGUGAAAUGCGUAGAGAUCAGGAGGAAGGCCAGUGGCGAAGGCGGGUCUCUGGACAGUUCCUGACACUGAGGCACGAAGGCCAGGGGAGCAAACGGG
rnacentral:rRNA from 1 species